rnacentral:rRNA from 1 species
GAUGAACGCUGGCGGCGUGCCUAAUACAUGCAAGUCGAGCGAACAGAUGAGGAGCUUGCUCCUCUGACGUUAGCGGCGGACGGGUGAGUAACACGUGGAUAACCUACCUAUAAGACUGGGAUAACUUCGGGAAACCGGAGCUAAUACCGGAUAAUAUAUUGAACCGCAUGGUUCAAUAGUGAAAGACGGUUUUGCUGUCACUUAUAGAUGGAUCCGCGCCGCAUUAGCUAGUUGGUAAGGUAACGGCUUACCAAGGCAACGAUGCGUAGCCGACCUGAGAGGGGGAUGGGCAACACGGGAACUGAGAAACGGGCCAAACCCCUAGGGGAGGCAGCAGGAGGGAAUUUUCCGCAAUGGGGGAAAGCCUGACGGAGAAACCCCGGGGGGGGGGUGAAGGUUUUGGGAUCGAAAAACUCUUUUAUUAGGGAAAAAAAAAUGGGAAAGUAAAUAUGCACGUUUUGACGGUACCAAAGAAAAAACCCACGCCUAACUACGU